UAGGGAAUCUUCGGCAAUGGACGGAAGUCUGACCGAGCAACGCCGCGUGAGUGAAGAAGGUUUUCGGAUCGUAAAGCUCUGUUGUUAGAGAAGAACGUUGGUAGGAGUGGAAAAUCCACCAAGUGACGGUAACUACCCAGAAAGGGACGGCUAACUACGUGCCAGCAGCCGCGGUAAUACGUAGGUCCCGAGCGUUGUCCGGAUUUAUUGGGCGUAAAGCGAGCGCAGGCGGUUCUUUAAGUCUGAAGUUAAAGGCAGUGGCUUAACCAUUGUACGCUUUGGAAACUGGAGGACUUGGGGGCAGAAGGGGGGAGUGGAAUUCCAUGUGUAGCGGUGAAAUGCGUAGAUAUAUGGAGGAAAUCCGGUGGCGAAAGCGGCUCUCUGGUCUGUAACUGACGCUGAGGCUCGAAAGAGUGGGGAGCAAACAGG
rnacentral:rRNA from 1 species